ensembl:lncRNA
GUAAAAAAGGAUAAGUUAACGUCUAGGUCAUGCCAGGUAGACCACAGCAAAUGCCUCGGGAUUCUAAAAGUUCUUAUUUAUUACUCACUGGGUCUUGAGUUUGACUUUGUCUGUUAGUCAUGGGAUAUUAGGUCUGACACAGGGGUGGACAAAGAAUGGCUAUUUAAGGGGCUAAGCAUAGCCCAAAUAAAUUGUGAUUAGCCCUGCAUCUGUAACAUCCUAACCUUUUCACGUUUCUGAAGUUCUAACCAGCCAAUUGACCUUUGCAGACACAGCUCCUUUUCAGGGAUUCUCAUUCACACUGCUCUUCCACAGGACCUAAGUUCGAGGCCGAGCACCCAGGUCGGGUGGCUCACCACUUGCAGCUUCUUCUAGGCACAGACCUUUAAUCCCCACGCCAGGGAGGCAGAAGCAGGUAGAUUUCGCACAGGCACCAGUUAAAUCAGCUCCGAUUUGGCACACUGUUGUCUUAAGAAUUGCAGUGCUCUGCUCCAUCUUCUCUGGAGGCUACGGCAGCUACAGAGGCUACAGAGGAGUGAUCUGCAAUCGAAACCUCCACCGUGAGUCUCCUCAAUAAACCCAAGAGUGAGAUGGCCCCAGAAGAGCAGCAGAAGUGGGAAAAGGAGGAAUUCAAUACAGGUCCCCUCUCGAUGCUCACCCAGGCACAGGAUUUUCUCAGUUAAAGAGGCUUUAUGAUUGGAAAGAAUUUAAGAAGCAUAGUUUAAAAAAUGAAGUAGGGCUGAGGCUGUAGCUUAGCUGGUAGAGUGAGUAUCUAGCAUGCACAGAACCCUGGACUCAGUACCUGAUACUGCAUGAAUUUGGCAGAGUGGGUCACACCUGUAACCAUGACCCUCAGGAGGUGGGAAGGUCAAGGUCACCCUUGACUGCUUAAUAAGUUCAAGGCCAGCCUAGGAUGUUUGGGACUUUGUCUCAAAGGUGUAUCUUUUAAGCUUAAAAGACAAAGAACAACUAAAGAGUAAUUGAAAUCCUGUGCCUUUGGAGAGUGUAUUUUCUGGGAUCUGUGUUCAUCCUUUCUUUAUUUACAGCUUUAUUAGUCAUGGUUAAAACCACCGGCCACCAGGGGGCGCCCUCCCAGAUGAUUACCUGACGCAUCUCAUCCCACAUGACAGUUCUGUCAACAAACAGGCUUCCUGGUAAAGGGGCCAAAGGGACAGGCAGGGACCUAGGCCCGGAGCUGGAGGGAAACAGGAUAGAACAGGAACCUGCCCCAGCUGUCUCUCUCUUCUUAGGUUUGACCCAGCGCUCACAGGUCUUUCCAAAGCUAAAAGUAGGCAGUUCCUUACAGGUUGGAAGCUGAUUUAAAAUAUCUCAGCAGGGUUGUUUGUUGGUUGUUUUUUUGACACAGGAUUUCUCUGUGUAGCCCUGGCUGUCCUGGAACUCGCUCCGUAGACCAGGCUGGCCUUGUGCUCAGAUCCUCCUGCCUCUGUUGGGAUUAAAAGUGUCCACCACCAUACCCUGCUAUGUCUCAACACUUUUGAAGCAGUUUUGACAUUUGAUCACCUUGGCUACUUGAAUGAGAGUUGAAAUAUUUUCUUCUUGAGGCUUGCAGACUGUAGCUGAGUUGCACCGAGAAUGCCACUUGUGGUGGUGAAAGUCACAUGGGAUGCUGGGAUGAACCGGGAAGGUGACCUCGGGACAUACCCAUACCACAGAGGGAGCAGGUGUUUACUGAAAAUGGAGGAGACCUGGGACUUGGUAGCCGUGUGCCGCCCUAAACAGCAUCACAGUCAGGAGGGAGCCAAGAGCUUGGCUCAGUAGCCUCCCAGGAGUGGGUUGGGCUCAUGUCUUCACAAGUAUUUUUUCUUUUAAUAUUACAGUGUUUAAGUAGGCAUCAUGGUGCAUACCUUUAAUCCCAGCACUUGGGAGGCAGAGGCAGGCAGAUCUCUGUGAGUUGAAAGGCAGUCUGUUCUUUAUAAUGUAUUCUAGGACAGCCAAGGCUAUUACAUAGAGAAACCCUGUCUUGAAAAAACAAACAACAGCAAAAAAUAAACAAGACAAAAUUGCAAUGUUAAUUGUGACAUAUUUCCAAACAUACAGAAACUAACAAAGGGGGCCACCUAUAUACCAUGAAAGUGAAUCAGAUGUUGACACCCCCCAUGUGCUCCAGCUUACACUUUUGUUUCAUUUGUUUUUAUUUACUUAUUUUAAUUAUAUAUAUAUUUGGGGACACACACAUGUGUAAGGGGAUCAGAGCACAACUUGCAGGAGUCAGUUCUCUCCUUCAGCUUGUUUUCGGCAGGGUCUCUCUUGUGUGUGAUGCUGUGUGUACUCCAGGUUAGCUAGCCUACAAGCUUCUAGACAAUUCUGUCUCUGUCUCCUUUCUUGCUGUAGGAGUGAUGAAAUUACAGACAUGGGCCACUACAGCCAGUGGUUUUAUGUGGUCUCCAGGCUUAGAUCAAACUGGGGCCAUAAGCUUGAGUGGCUGGCACCUUCACCCACUGAGCCAUCUACCCAGCCCAUUCUGGUCAUUAUGUAGCCAUCUGGCCUCAGAUUCGCAAUUCUCCUGCCUCAGCUUGCUGGAUGCUGGAAGUCUGUGGGCCACUAUGCCUCAUUCACUCUCUACCUUUCUAAGAAGGCAAAGUACUAGAAACAAAGAAAAGGCCCACCUAUCCCUUCCCUGCCUUGUCCCCAAAGACAAGAGUGACCAUGUUUUCAUGCCUAUGCAGAUGUUUGGGUUUUGAUUUUGUUUUUUAACUGUGCAUGACUUGAAAGAAGGUAAUUGUACAAAUUUCAAUCAUACAGACUGAUGGAUUUUUUACAUAUAAAUAUUCACGUAUAUAUCUCCAAAAUAAAAUGUAUAACAUGUCUAG